UACGUAGGGUGCAAGCGUUGAUCGGAAUUAUUGGGCGUAAAGCGUGCGCAGGCGGUUUUGUAAGUCUGUCGUGAAAUCCCCGGGCUUAACCUGGGAAUGGCGAUGGAGACUGCAAGGCUAGAGUUUGGCAGAGGGGGGUAGAAUUCCACGUGUAGCAGUGAAAUGCGUAGAGAUGUGGAGGAACACCGAUGGCGAAGGCAGCCCCCUGGGUCAAAACUGACGCUCAUGCACGAAAGCGUGGGGAGCAAACAGG
rnacentral:rRNA from 1 species